rnacentral:rRNA from 1 species
CGGAAGCAGUGAUGUGGAGCGAAUCCCAAAAAUAAACGUCCCAGUUCGGAUUGCAGUCUGCAACUCGAGUGCAUGAAGCUGGAAUCGCUAGUAAUCGCGAAUCAGAAUGUCGCGGUGAAUACGUUCCCGGGUCUUGUACACACCGCCCGUCACACCAUGGGAGUCGGGAAUGCCCGAAGUCAGUGACCCAACCUAUAGGAGGGAGCUGCCGAAGGCAGGUCUGAUAACUGGGGUGAAGUCGUAACAAGGUACC